GAUGAACGCUGGCGGCGUGCCUAAUACAUGCAAGUCGAGCGAACAGAUGAGGAGCUUGCUCCUCUGACGUUAGCGGCGGACGGGUGAGUAACACGUGGAUAACCUACCUAUAAGACUGGGGUAACUUCGGGAAACCGGAGCUAAUACCGGAUAAUAUAUUGAACCGCAUGGUUCAAUAGUGAAAGACGGUUUUGCUGUCACUUAUAGAUGGAUCCGCGCCGCAUUAGCUAGUUGGUAAGGUAACGGCCUACCAAGGCAACGAUGCGUAGCCGACCUGAGAGGGUGAUCGGCCACACUGGAACUGAGACACGGUCCAGACUCCUACGGGAGGCAGCAGUAGGGAAUCUUCCGCAAUGGGCGAAAGCCUGACGGAGCAACGCCGCGUGAGUGAUGAAGGUCUUCGGAUCGUAAAACUCUGUUAUUAGGGAAGAACAAAUGUGUAAGUAACUAUGCACGUCUUGACGGUACCUAAUCAGAAAGCCACGGCUAACUACGUG
rnacentral:rRNA from 1 species